GAGCAACAAGAUAAAAGGAACCUGAAUCUCUGAAUCUGAGUCCCAUAAAUCUGUCCCACUGAACUCUGGACUGUUAUUAAGCAAGAGAAAUGAAAGUUAUGUAUUCAUGGCAGCAAGAAGUGGUCCAACUACAACAUCUUAGAUUCACAAACUCUGCUGACAGUAUGCUGUUAUCCCAUUCCCCAGAAGACUAACUAGAGAAAUUCCUAGCUGUCUUCACUGAAAAGGCCUACUUGGUAAUAAGCAUCCCUGGAGCCUAGACUAUGUUGAUUGAAGUAUCAUUUCACACUAAAAGAAGAGAAGUGGCUGGUUCCAGGUCUACGGCAGAGAAAACAUAAGGAGCUUCAGAGAAAAACAAAACCAGUGUACAACUUUGAAGGAAGAAGAAUGGCUGCUGUGUAUAACAUUGGAGAAGUAUUCUCUGCCACCCAUCUUCUCUCCUACAGUAUAAUCAGGCCAAACUUUCCAAAAUAUAACUUUAAUUCUGAAUCUUGCUCAAAAUUUCCUACUCUUCCUUUUUUUUCUUACUUGACAACCAGGCUGUCCAGCUCACCUUCAGUGAUUACUCUCAACAAAAGCACCCAAUAACAAAACUAGUCCACCUCUAUACUUUUCUCAUCCUGCUACAACUGGUUAGAAUCACUUUUAUCUAAAUCUUAAUCAUCUCUCAAGACCCAGUUAAAGCCCUCUAUCAUUCAUAAGACCUUUCCCAGUCUUCAUGGUUCACACAUUAGCUCUCUCUGAAAGUCCAUAACAGCUUUCAUCUGAACUUUCCUUUUGGCAUUUAAUAAAAUACUCUCUUGUGCCCUUGCCAAGUCUUUUUUUGAUCCACCUUCUACUCCAGUUCCUGGAAAAUAGUAACUGUAUACCAUAAAAACAAAGAUGAUUAUUAUAACUGUGACAGAUUGUAUUAUUGAUCAUAA